UAAAAACAGCUACAGUACUAUAGUAUAGUCAAAGCUACUGUGGUUAUUGUUCAAACAACUAUGCUAUUGUAUUGUAAAGAAUCAUAUUAUAUCCAGACAAUGUGUUUUUACUGUAAGGGAAUGUCUGCAUAUUGGAGAAACUGGAGAGCCAGAACCUCAACAAGCUCUCAGAUUAUCCUCGCAAAACCACCAAAAGAUAAUAACUAAGAUUCCUAUCUCUGAUAAUAUGCUGUUAUCAAUUUUAGUGCACCGCCUAUGCUGAAGUCAAUAAAGCAAUUUAACGCUGAGAGGACAGAUGUUGGGCCAUGAAUAUAGCAUGCAAAAACCCCGCUGCACGCUCUGCUACAGACGAUGACGCGAAGCUGCACUUGUCUCGAGCACACGAUGGCUCUCUUUGUUAGCGCACUAGUUGUCAGUGCCUUUUCGGAAAGCAACCAGGCUUCGCCCACAACGCCAUGCAACCUGUUCUAAGAGGGGGCAGAACCCUGAGCCGCGACUGAUUAGAGCCAGAGAAAGUGAGGAUCCUUGGCUGGUUGGGGCCUGAUGGAUGAAACGGCUGGGAAUAGACUCUGAUGAUUCCUCACCAACAUCCAUCCACAAUAGGGAUGCGCACGCACACACACACGCUCACACACAUGUAUGAAUGCAUGCACACACGCGUGCAGUUACACACACACACAUCUACCC
rnacentral:lncRNA from 1 species